UACGUAGGGGGCUAGCGUUGUCCGGAAUCAUUGGGCGUAAAGAGCGUGUAGGCGGUCCGGUAAGUCCGUUGUGAAAGUCAGGGGCUCAACCCUUGAAUGCCGGCGGAUACUGUCGGGCUAGAGUCCGGAAGAGGCGAGUGGAAUUCCCGGUGUAGCGGUGGAAUGCGCAGAUAUCAGGAAGAACACCAACGGCGAAGGCAGCUCGCUGGGACGGUACUGACGCUGAGACGCGAAAGCGUGGGGAGCGAACAGG
rnacentral:rRNA from 1 species